UGGGGAAUAUUGGACAAUGGACCGAGAGUCUGAUCCAGCAAUUCUGUGUGCACGAUGAAGUUUUUCGGAAUGUAAAGUGCUUUCAGUUGGGAAGAAAGAAAUGACGGUACCAACAGAAGAAGUGACGGCUAAAUACGUGCCAGCAGCCGCGGUAAUACGUAUGUCACGAGCGUUAUCCGGAUUUAUUGGGCGUAAAGCGCGUCUAGGUGGUUAUAUAAGUCUGAUGUGAAAAUGCAGGGCUCAACUCUGUAUUGCGUUGGAAACUGUAUAACUAGAGUACUGGAGAGGUAAGCGGAACUACAAGUGUAGAGGUGAAAUUCGUAGAUAUUUGUAGGAAUGCCGAUGGGGAAGCCAGCUUACUGGACAGAUACUGACGCUGAAGCGCGAAAGCGUGGGUAGCAAACAGG
rnacentral:rRNA from 1 species